rnacentral:lncRNA from 1 species
UGCUGUUGGAAUCCAUCCAGUUCUUAGCUGCUCUUAUUUUGGUAUGUAGAGAACGGAGUUCCAAGAUAUUAAAGUUCUUAAUAGUGUUUGCUAAUUGCCACCUAAUCUCUUCUGCUUUUACUGGGUUGCAUUCUGAUAGGAAUAUGCAUCAUAUGUAUUCUCAGGAAAAAUACAUACGAUGCAUAUUUAUACGCCUUUAUAGAGGAAAGUGCAUGCCACAAUUUGCCUUAUGAUCCAACGGAAAAACCAGAUAAGGAAGUACACAUCAUUCUAAGAAAUAAUAAAUUGCCCUCCUUUUUGAGAACAGCAUAUGUAAAGUCACCGGCACCCCCUAGACUUUUUGCCUUCAUCAAGCAUCAUAAACAACCAGUGGAAGCCAGACCCGUAGUGGAGAGAGCCUUUGCGCCUAUAUACCAGAUAGAAAAAGGAUUAGCACAAUGGUGUCUACAGAGGAUGCAAGACUACCAAUUUACUGCCCUAUCAUCUAUGAACUUCAUUGAUACCUUACUGGAGAAAGGCCCUAUGCCAGACCAACUUAUGCAGGUACUAGACUUCAAAUCGCUAUACCCAUCGAUACUGCUUGAACCCGCUUGUCUCUUUCUUUAUCGCUUUCUACUACAGCACCUCCUAGACCAAUGCUCCGACCAAGGUUUAAUAAGGACAAUUUGCCAUACUGUAGUUUCAUAGGUCAUAUUUCAAGUUUAAUGAUAAAAUCUACAAGCAGACCAGGGCUGUAUCUAUUCGUAGCCC